CGCUGACACGUAGGUGAAGUGAUUUACUCAUGGAGCUGAAGUCAGUCGAAGAUACCAGCUGGCUGCAACUGUUUAUUAAAAACACAGCACUGUGCAAACACGAAAGUGGACGUAUACGGUGUGACGCCUGCCCGGUGCCGGAAGGUUAAUUGAUGGGGUCAGCGCAAGCGAAGCUCCUGAUCGAAGCCCCGGUAAACGGCGGCCGUAACUAUAACGGUCCUAAGGUAGCGAAAUUCCUUGUCGGGUAAGUUCCGACCUGCACGAAUGGCGUAAUGAUGGCCAGGCUGUCUCCACCCGAGACUCAGUGAAAUUGAACUCGCUGUGAAGAUGCAGUGUACCCGCGGCAAGACGGAAAGACCCCGUGAACCUUUACUAUAGCUUGACACUGAACAUUGAGCCUUGAUGUGUAGGAUAGGUGGGAGGCUUUGAAGUGUGGACGCCAGUCUGCAUGGAGCCGACCUUGAAAUACCACCCUUUAAUGUUUGAUGUUCUAACGUGGACCCGUAAUCCGGGUUGCGGACAGUGUCUGGUGGGUAGUUUGACUGGGGCGGUCUCCUCCUAAAGAGUAACGGAGGAGCACGAAGGUUGGCUAAUCCUGGUCGGACAUCAGGAGGUUAGUGCAAUGGCAUAAGCCAGCUUGACUGCGAGCGUGACGGCGCGAGCAGGUGCGAAAGCAGGUCAUAGUGAUCCGGUGGUUCUGAAUGGAAGGGCCAUCGCUCAACGGAUAAAAGGUACUCCGGGGAUAACAGGCUGAUACCGCCCAAGAGUUCAUAUCGACGGCGGUGUUUGGCACCUCGAUGUCGGCUCAUCACAUCCUGGGGCUGAAGUAGGUCCCAAGGGUAUGGCUGUUCGCCAUUUAAAGUGGUACGCGAGCUGGGUUUAGAACGUCGUGAGACAGUUCGGUCCCUAUCUGCCGUGGGCGCUGGAGAACUGAGGGGGGCUGCUCCUAGUACGAGAGGACCGGAGUGGACGCAUCACUGGUGUUCGGGUUGUCAUGCCAAUGGCACUGCCCGGUAGCUAAAUGCGGAAGAGAUAAGUGCUGAAAGCAUCUAAGCACGAAACUUGCCCCGAGAUGAGUUCUCCCUGAGACUUAGAGUCUCCUGAAGGAACGUUGAAGACGACGACGUUGAUAGGCCGGGUGUGUAAGCGCAGCGAUGCGUUGAGCUAACCGGUACUAAUGAACCGUGAGGCUUAACCUUACAACGCCGAAG
rnacentral:rRNA from 1 species